AUUGAACGCUGGCGGCAGGCUUAACACAUGCAAGUCGAGCGGAGAUGAGGUGCUUGCGCCUUAUCUUAGCGGCGGACGGGUGAGUAAUGCUUAGGAAUCUGCCUAUUAGUGGGGGACAACAUUCCGAAAGGAAUGCUAAUACCGCAUACGUCCUACGGGAGAAAGCAGGGGAUCUUCGGACCUUGCGCUAAUAGAUGAGCCUAAGUCGGAUUAGCUAGUUGGUGGGGUAAAGGCCUACCAAGGCGACGAUCUGUAGCGGGUCUGAGAGGAUGAUCCCCCAGACUGGGACUGAGACACGGCCCAGACUCCUACGGGAGGCAGCAGGGGGGGAUAUUGGGCAAUGGGGGGAACCCUGAUCCAGCCAUGCCGCGUGUGUGAAGAAGGCCUUAUGGUUGUAAAGCACUUUAAGCGAGGAGGAGGCUACUGAGACUAAUACUCUUGGAUAGUGGACGUUACUCGCAGAAUAAGCACCGGCUAACUCUGUGCCAGCCGCCGCGGUAACAC
rnacentral:rRNA from 1 species